CAUGCAAGUCGAGCGAGAAAGUGACUUCGGUCGCGAGUAAAGCGGCGAACGGGUGAGUACAACGUGGAUAAUCUACCCUAGGGUCUGGGACAACCCCGAGAAAUCGGAGCUAAUACCGGAUAAGACCACAGUAUCCAAGGAUACAGUGGUAAAAGAUUUAUCGCCUUUGGAUGAGUCCACGUCCCAUCAGGUAGUUGGUAAGGUAAAAGCUUACCAAGCCUAAGACGAGUAGCCGGCCUUAGCGGGUGAACGGCCACAUGGGGACUGAGACACGGCCCUGACUCCUACGGGAGGCAGCAGUGGGGAAUAUUGGGCAAUGGGCGAAAGCCUGACCCAGCGAUGCCGCGUGAGGGAUGAAGGCCUUCGGGUUGUAAACCUCUGUCAGGAGGGACGAUGGGACACUUGUGUCUUGACGGUACCUCCAGAGGAAGCCCCGGCUAACUCCGUGCCAGCAGCCGCGGUAAUACGGAGGGGGCAAGCGUUGCUCGGAAUUACUGGGCGUAAAGGGUCCGCAGGCUGUCAGGCAAGUUGGUUGUGAAAGCUCAAGGCUUAACCUUGGAAUUGCAUCCAAAACUGCCUGACUAGAGUCCAAGAGAGGUUGGCGGAAUUCCCGGUGUAGCGGUGAAAUGCAUAGAUAUCGGGAGGAACACCAGAGGCGAAGGCGGCCAACUGGCUUGGAACUGACG
rnacentral:rRNA from 1 species